rnacentral:lncRNA from 10 species
AGGCAGUCAGAAUGGCGUGAACCCAGAAGGCGGAGCUUGUAGUGAGCUGAGAUCAUGGCACUGCACUCCAGCCUGGGCGACAGAGUGAGACUCCAUCUCAAAAAAAUAAAUAAAUAAAAAUAAAAAUAAAUAAAUAAAUAAAAAGGACUAAAUUAUUGGUACACACCACAACAGGGAUGAAUCUCAAAAUAAUUAUUCUGAAUGAAAGAAGCCAGUCAAAAAAAGAAUAUAUCUUGUGUGAUGAGGUGUCUUCACUGUGGGUGAGGGCAGAGGGGCAGGGGCAGGGGCAGGGCCAGGGCAGCGUGCUGCAGGGUCUUGGGUGUGGAGACAGGGCUGCCAGGCCAGAGCCCCCUGGGUGGGGUAUGAACCUCAGCCAAGGCAUUGCAGCGCCUGCCUGUCCCCACCCACCUAUCUUGCCUUACCUUGUAUGUAUAAAAUUCUAGAAAGUGCAAACUAAUCUAUCAUGACAAGAAAUGUCAAUUGCCUAAACAUGGGGUGAGGUGGGAGGAAUUACAAGGGGCCCAGAGGAAACUGUUGGGAGUGACGUUGACUGUGUCGAUCUUGAUUAUGGCGAUGAUUUUAUGGUUGUUUACACACGUCAAAAUUCACCACAUUGUAUACUUUAAACACAUAGAGUUGACUGUUGUCAAUUAUACCUCAAUAAAGCUGUUAAAAAGACGUCUGUGACACAUGUGCUGCCCUGGGGAGUUUGUGGUUUUUGCAGAAGGCAGAAGCGAGGCCCAGUGGUAGCCACAGCCCGGAGUGACCCCAGCGUGUGGUGAGCUCAGGAAGGGACCCUUGCAUUGCGACCAGAAGCUGAGCAACAUCGACAGCACCUGGGCUCCUUAGAGUGCAAGCUCUCAGGCCCGCGAGCCCUGCCCAGUGACCCAUAUGCACAUUUAAGUUUGAGCUUGUGCCUGGCCCCGACAGGACACCGUGGGAACAGUCCCAGGCGUCAGCUUUUGCUGUGUCUCCAUCGCUUUGGAAGGCUAUGAGGUUUGAUGCCACGUCUGUCUGGCUUGGGGACCUGCUUUGCUCUCUGACCCCUGAGACCAGCCAGAGAGUGGGUGAGGGCAGAGGGGCAGGGCCAGUGCAGCGUGCUGCAGGGUCCUGGGCCUGGAGACAGUGCUGCGAGGCCAGAGCCCCUAGGUGGGGCACGAAGCCCAGUCAAAGCAUUGCAGUGCCUGCCUGUCCCCACCCACGGCCACUGGUCAUGGAGCCUCAUAGUCCAGCAGUAAACUUUCCAUUAGCCAAACCACUGUGUGGGAAAAAACUGUGGUGUAUUUCACCCCUGGGCCAGAUCGAGUUUCUGAGUUUUAUUUAACUACAAUUAUGACCGUGAACUUUUCAGUCCAGUUUGCUGGGCCCACUGCUGCCUGUGCCUGAUGGAGACCUUAAAAUCCUCAGCACGAACCUUGGGCCUCAUGGCCGAGGCUGUGGCCCAGGUAUCAUCCACCAAAAGAGCCCAGAGCUGAGUCUGGACCUCGAGCCGGGCACUGCCACUGUCACCAUCUGUCCCACCUUUAAUCUCUGUGCUGAAUUCC